UGUACUUGAAUUUAAGGAUGCCACGUUAUGAAGUGUUACUUUUGUAUGGAUAUUUAUUUCUGGUGGAAGAGUGUUGCCCUUACACUUUAUAUCUUUCUGCUUCCUCAGAUGCUCUUUUAUACAGAAAACCGAUUCAGAAAGGUAAAUUUCCAGGGGAGGAACAAUUUCACAAGAGGGAUGGGGACUGAUAUUUCAUGAGUGUUGAACCGUCUGUUCUGCAGACUUUGGGACCCCCAUCAAUGGCGUCACUCUGGGAAACAGUCCUCUACUGGCGUUUGGGUACAUUGUCUGUCCCAUGAAUGAACUGGGAGGGGUUUGAAGACUUGGCUUGGGGGCAGAGCUUGUCCCUGCGAAGAACCUGCACACCAGUCGCCAGUUCCUUUCCUGCCUAUAGACUAUUAUCCUGGUUUCUCCCUUAAUUUUAUAGAUUUUGCUUUCUUUCUUAAAAUCUAUAUACUGCUUGUUUGUAGGGAAAAGCCUCAGAGCCUUACAAUAUCUUACAAAAGCCCUUAAGGAGCAUCCUGCAGGGUCAGUUCAAUGUCCAUCUUGUUGAGUUCUCAUGUAUAAGGAAUCUUCCUUGCAUUUUGUUAUCCCUCCACACAAUCUGAGGAUGUUCUUUUGGGGCUUCUCUUGAUUUGCUUGGAUUUCCCCCUCGUGAAGUGUGUUAAAAGGGGCACCCGCAAGCACACAGUCCCUCCUCCACCUCCUGCCCAGGCUGGUCUCCCAGCAGCAGAGCAAGGCCUGAGCCGCCUCUUCCUCAGAGUUUCAACCUCACCAGCCAUUUCUCGUGCUUCAGCCAUCCCCAUCUCCUCAGAGUUCCCCCAGUUCUUAGGAGAUCAGCCCCAUUCUAUGAGAGAGGACUUCCCAUUGCACAAGACCCUUGGAAUUACAGUGAAAAGCUCUGCCAAUUUUUCCUUUGCAAUUUGGUUUGUCAGCAUAAUUGGAAAUUCCAGUUUCAACAGCUUUUCCCCACCAGUUUACUUGGGGCAGAUGUUAAACCUUUCUUCAUCCAUCCAGUUCAGAUCCCCAUUUCAUUUGUGGAUUUUGAAUGAUUGUAUUCCCCCAUUUUCUAGUAUGGUUUACCAUUUAUGAUUUUCCCAUGAAAUCAUGGAAUAGCAGAGUCUGAAAGGAUCCCAAGGAUUAUCUAGUCCAGUCCCCUGCAAUGCGGGAAUCACAGCUAAACUCGUUAGUUGUUUUAAUUCCUUAGGCCUAGUGAUAUUACAUUCUCAAGAAUUAUAUUUUGGAGAAUAAUUAACAUCACUACUUAGUCCUACAGUUGUUGUCUUUGCAUGAUUUCAUCUUUUGCUUGAAAUAAGGAAACAACAGAUGCUAUGAUUUGAUGAUGUUUUGUAAAAAAAGAUUUCUUUUUAAGCUACUGCAUUGUUGCCUGUUAAGCCUGUCUUUUUGCUUCCUCAGAUGUUCAGUCAUUCAGAAAUCUUCAGAAAGGUAAAUUUCACAUGAAGACCCCAAUUCACAGGAGGGGGACUAGUGUUUCAUGGGGGUCAAGAGUCUCUUUUGUACAGCUUGACUCUCCCCCUGCUGUUUGUACCACAAAGGCAGAGAGGGUGGACUUGAAGGUGCAGAAGGGGGGGGGGGAGAGAAACUGCCCAGAAGGAUCAGAUAAAAGAGGGAAGAGUUUCAUUCCUGCCUAGAGAGAGUUGGGUUGCUUUUCCAUGUGACCUUUUUCUCAGACAGGUCCUCUAUUUUCAUGGUUAAAAUUUCUCCCCUGGGCGGAUUUUUAAAAUUUGGCAAAAUGUCUCAAGUUGCUUGGUUUGGUUUACAGUAACCCAUGAAAAAAAAUUCUAGUGCAUUAGAUUCAGAUCUAAGGCACCCAGCUAAGCUAGCCUAGAGCAAAGAAUCGCAACAGAGCAGCAUCUUAAGCUAGCCACAUCCUGCAUAAAACCCUUCUCUUGUGGCUGAACUAAAAGGACGCUGGCUCAGCUACAAGAUCUUGGAGGAGGAAUCUGGGAGGGCGAGAGUUAACACCCCCCUGCCCUUAAGGAGAGUCCAUAUGUACAUGUUUAACAGUUUAAUAAAUUGUUCUGUGCACACUUGCAUUCACAAAGAUGUGAACACGAGCCCAAAUACUUUAAAGUGGCAAGUGAGGGAGCAAUUAUUAUUAUUAUUAUUAUUAUUAUUAUUAUUUGGUUGUUGAAAGUUAAGAACAUUGCUACUAGCAGUAUAUCACAGCUUUGAAAGCCUACAUAGAGUAGGGGUAUUUAAAAUGAGUGUUGUCAUAGCGAUCCAUGGUUAAGAGUAGAAGUUGGCAAAUGUGUCCUCUUUUUGCUCUUCGAAAUACAGCAACUCUACACUUGCCUGCCAUGAAUGUCUAAGCCCCUAACUGGUAACUUUUUGAGUUAUUCCUCCUCCUCCCAGGGAACUAGUCUUAUGGUAUAUGUUACAUCCAAAAGAGAAGCAUGGAAUAAGCAGUCCUUUGUAAAAUUGCCCUGCCACCUGCCUCCUCUUCCCUGGCGGCAAGGCCUAAACUUCCAAGAUGGUGGGGAGGAAGGCAAGGAGAGACCAAGUGGGUGAGAGAGAUGGAGAGCUGGAAUAAACAGGCUCCCCACUUAAUGCGAUUUUGACUUGUGGGCACGAGGGCCCAGAACGUGACCCCCGUGAAAGUGAGGGGAGGCCUAUAUGUGGUUUUAUGUUGUAUUUUUAUGCUGUGAACCACCCUGAGACCUGUAGAUGAAGGGCAGUAGGCAAAUAUAAUUUGUUGUUGCUGUUGUUGUUAGAAGAGGGGGGUCCUCCUCCCCCAGCCCAACCAGAGGUCCCCAAAGGCCAAUUCCCACAGAGAUUGUCAGAGGAAAGCAGCUUCUCUCUCUCCUGCCUCCUCCAAUUCUCCUCUCUUUCCCCUUAGAUAACACAGAAGAGCUGAGUAAAAGGUUUAAUGGGUGGUUUUUCCUCCUAGAAAAUGCCUGGGAUGAGAGAAGGGCAGGAAUAAUACACAUCGGAUAUAAGAAAGUGAAGGGAACUGAUUUAAAAAACAAGAAGGAAGAUAUUUAUUCUGAUGAGAGUCAGGGGUCUCAGUCUAGCAUGCGAUGCAAAGAAAUCCCCUUGAUCUGAAAGGGAACCUGGGGUUUUCGGGGGGUUUUAUUAUUAUUAUCAGUAUGUCCAUUUCUGUCUCUCAGCUGACUCUGCAUAUUCUUCUCUUUCCCUCAUCUUCUUCCCAACAGCAAAUGUCACUCUGGAUCCAGACACAGCCCAUCCUGAACUCAUCCUGUCCGAGGAUGGGAAAAGCGUGAGAAGGGGAGACAAACCUCAAGCCCUGCCUGACAAUCCUGAGAGAUUCAGUGACCGGCCUUGUGUGUUGGGACGUGAGGGAUUCACAGCAGGCAGCCAUUUCUGGGAAGUCACUGUGGAAAGUGGGGAAUGGUGGGCUCUGGGGGUCGCCAGGAAGUCUGUGGAGAGAAAGGGCAUCUUUGACUUAAGCCCUGAGUGGGGGAUCUGGGCUGUGGGGAAGUGGGGAGGGGGCUACUUUGCCUGCACCUCCCCUGUUUCCUCUCCUCUGUCCCUGAGUGAGGAGCCCAGGAGGAUCCGGGUGACUCUGGACUAUGAAGGGGGACGUGUGUCUUUUUCUGACGCUGACUCAGGAGCCGAACUCUACACGUUCUCAGGAGCCUCGUUCUCUGGAGAGACCCUCCUCCCUUUCUUUUGUCUGGGGGGAUAUAAAACCCACUUCAGUAUCUCCUGAGGAGACUAAAUCUGCCUCUCAGGCCCAGCAGGAGUUUCUCUCCAGACCAGAGUGACUGACAUAAAAACCAUUUACCCGCCAAGAGCAGGUUGGGCAGUUUUCCAAGGGCCCUUUGAGAGGAUUCAUUCCAGUCAAAAUCAGCAGAAAUAACCAAACAAAAAUAAGUUGCUCUUGCUUUGCAUUUUCCUUCCUUUUCCCAGAAUUCCCUCUGCAGCUCACUUCUUAAAGAGACAGUCACACUUUUAGAAGUCCUAAUAAAUUUUCUCACCUUC